UAGAGAAGUGUCGUUUUUACGUACGUGUAGUCAUCGGCUUCUAACACCACGAACAUACGUGCCUUCUUCUCUUUCUUUCACCGCCUCAUCUUUUAUUUUCAGAGGUUUUUCUUAAAUGUUGAAUUUUGAUUGUCCUCUUCGUCUGCUCCCAUCUUCAAUUGAAGCUUCCAUCACCGUUCACAUGCUUUUCUGGUAAAUGGAAUUGAUCCCCAAAAUACACAGUCUCUUCUCUUCUUCUCGCCUGACCAUCUUCCCUCCGCUUGUUACUAACUAUAGAAAUGAUUUAGGUAAUUGUGAAGGAUCGAGAUGACCUAAUUCCUUUUCUAUUUAAUCAGGCACCUUACCAGCUUGCUACAAGGUAAUUAUUAUUCACAGACCAUUUGAUUAUGUUUUUAUAUCUAAAAUAUUUAUGUUAGCAGUGCUUGUGUUUUUUCGUUAGCGAUGAAGGAUGGGAGGUUAGGGUUACGGAGGAUGCUACGGCGGAGGGUUCCAGAGUGAAGAUCGAUUGCGACAGAGGAUGCAAACAUCAAAAUCCAUUAUCGACUGUAGACUGAAUGAUUGAAGCUCCGGAAUCAAUGAGGUGUAAGUAUUUUUCAAGUUUUUGGAGGCGUUGUUUAGCUAUUUGGACCAUCUUCUCUUCGCCAACGUUUGCUUAGAAGAAGAAAAUUUGUUGAGAGAGAUGAAGCAACUGCAGGUAAAACUUAAUACUCACAUGUGACAUUUUUUGUAGGAUCUUUGCCAGUGAAACAAUGAUGAGUUGAAUAGGGCAUGAAAUUUAGUAUUAUGCAUUCUACGUGUUUGAUAUAUUGUCUCAAAUAGAGAGGAAGAUGUUUGAAAAAGUCUAGAGGUGACUUUGAAGUUUUUGAUGGAAGAGAUGCUUCUCUGGUGAUGUAUGAAAUCAAUAUUCGUAUUUUUGUUCUUAUAUUUUUAUGGUUUGUGUAAUUUUCGAUUAUACCUGUAUUGUCGAUUCUUUUAGAGGUCAUUUGUUAUUUGCCUGUUAAGUUUUGGAUUUUGUAUGUUUCUUUCUUAGAUUGGAUUUCUAAGGGCUGGGCUUUGUUGUGAAUACAUAUUUUAGCCGUUUUCAGGAAGUAUUGUAAGAUUGGAUUGAACAGCUUUUUUUACUUGGAAAUACACCACUCAUACCCUUUCUCCAAGAUGUCAUUCAAAAUAUGAGGGAUUCAGAUAAUUCCAAGACCACCUCAUUCUUGUUGGAUGAUGACUCAAGGUUGACUUAUCAGAACUAAUUUCAUUUUGUAUUUUUUUUUUGAAUUUUACAUGCUUUUAUUCUGAGUUUUACACACAAUACUACGAAGUUCUAGGGAGACGAUAUUGUUUUGCAAAUCAACAGGAUGUUGGGUUAUUGAACAUUGCUCAGUGUGCAUUAACUGUCUCAUUUGCCAAGUUGAUUAAUGAAAAAGAGUCUGAUUAUGCCCUUGAAAGGUAAUUUGACCCUUUUGCCCUUUUCUCCAAAACACAAACUUAUAGGUAAUGUAUUUUUGUAAUAAACCAUUUGCUAUAAGAUGAAUGCAACAGAUGCGUUUAAACUAA